rnacentral:lncRNA from 13 species
AUGAGGGCUGAGGACUGACUGUUAGGUUUAGCAUCGUAGAGGUCCUUGAUUUUAGGGAGAGAGCAACAGUGGAGCAGGAGAGGAAAGAAGGAGGGGUGGAAAACUUAGGACAUCAGAUACGAACAGACCUUUAAGAGGUUCUGUUCUAAAAUGGACUGAAAAAUGGCCAUAUGCAGUGGGGGCACGCCUGUAGUCCCAGCUUCUUGGGAGACUGAGGUGGGAGAAUCCCUUGAGCCCAGGAAUUCAAGACCAACCCAGGCAACACAGUGAGAGCCAGUCUCAAAAAAAUAAAUAAAUACAAAAUAAAAUGGAUUGAGAAAUGGAGAGGCUGCGGGAGAAGUGGUGUGAAGAGAGAUAGGAGAAAUUACAGCAGAGAAAGGGAACAUUUGAUGAUAAGGAAAAGGACAAAGCGAUGCUGAAGUGGCAUCCAGCGUCAGGCUCCAGAGGAGUUAAGGGGCUCUCCGACCAGGAGAAGGGGCUGGUCUCAGAGAGGGUGAGAAGAAUACAGCCAUGGUAACAGCAGAACACAGAAGCGCUGGCAGAGGCAAGUAAGAGGCUGAAUGUGGAAAGUCAACCUCCAAUGUGUUAGACCAGUUAAUGUUACUGGUCACUUUGAGAGGUAACUAUGGAAAUCUAUAAAAAGCCAAAGCAGCUGUACCCACAGUUGAUGUGAACCUGGAAGACCACAGAAAGGACUUAGCAUCACAAGUCUUUGUGGUAGCUGAGGAGUGCCCCCUACAGUCUGAUAUGCACAGUGCAAGCAGAUGAAGAGGAAAGACGUGAGCUGCAGUAUUUCAGGAUUCUCAAUAAGGCAUCAAUGAAAGAAAGUUACAACAUCACAGAUCUUUCAAUGAUGUGCACAAUUGUGAUUUUCUCCUCCUGGUUAAUUGGAAACAACUGCUCCCCAGGACUAAUUACAACUCUAUCAGAAAGAAAGGUGAGCACAAAUAUGUCUUAAGCGAAUGUAAAAACUUUAAAGGUGAGGGCCCGUAAACUGAAUUAAAAGAUGAAAUUUAAAAACACUCUAUAAGCUAUACUUUCUAGAGACUGUUGCAAUGAGCAUCAAGAAUAUAAAUCCAAAGAGUUUUCCAGUGAUGAUAACAAGAGGCAUGAAAGCAUAACAUACUGACAUGCCUCAGAUAGUCAAUCCACAUUGAUCAGCUCAGAAAUUGCUUCUUGUUAAUAGAAAUUCUCUGUUGAGUUUGAAAUGUCAUUUGCUUUCCUGAAAAUAAUUUUUGGUAAGUGCUUAACAGAAACUGACUGCUUGAAACUGGUCUGAAUUACCUAAGAGCACUAAUACACACAUGAAUGCUGCCCUAAGCUGUAAUAUUGGUAAUAAUCCCACCUAAUAUGUAUCAUUUAGUUCAUACUUAAACAAUUCAUGAUAUUUUAAACUACCUAUGAGAUUAAAGAAUAAAUAAGUGCAGUGGUAGCUCUGUGUUUUCUUG